GUGGGGAAUCUUGCGCAAUGGGCGAAAGCCUGACGCAGCCAUGCCGCGUGAAUGAUGAAGGUCUUAGGAUUGUAAAAUUCUUUCACCGGGGACGAUAAUGACGGUACCCGGAGAAGAAGCUCCGGCUAACUUCGUGCCAGCAGCCGCGGUAAUACGAAGGGGGCUAGCGUUGCUCGGAAUUACUGGGCGUACAGGGCGCGUAGGCGGACAGCUUAGUCAGAGGUGAAAGCCCAGGGCUCAACCUUGGAAUUGCCUUUGAUACUGGCUGUCUUGAGUUUGGGAGAGGUGAGUGGAACGCCGAGUGUAGAGGUGAAAGUCGUAGAUAUUCGGAAGAACACCAGUGGCGAAGGCGACUCACUGGCCCAAUACUGACGCUGAGGCGCGAAAGCGUGGGGAGCAAACAGGAUUAGAUACCCGUGUAGUCC
rnacentral:rRNA from 1 species